rnacentral:rRNA from 1 species
UACGUAGGUGGCAAGCGUUGUCCGGAUUUACUGGGCGUAAAGAGCGCGCAGGCGGUCGUUCAAGUCGCGUGUGAAAGCCCCUGGCUCAACUGGGGAGGGUCACGCGAUACUGAUCGACUCGAAGGCAGGAGGGGGUAGUGGAAUUCCCGGUGUAGUGGUGAAAUGCGUAGAUAUCGGGAGGAACACCAGCGGCGAAGGCGACUACCUGGCCUGUUCUUGACGCUGAGGCGCGAAAGCUAGGGGAGCAAACGGG